rnacentral:tRNA from 1 species
GGUGAAAUGGCUGAGUUGUAAGCAAUAAAUUGUAAAUUUAUUAACGAAAUUAUUUCUUUCACCA